CUGGUUUUAGUAGAGGCUUUUGCAGCAUGUUGCUGCUGAUGGAUUUGUGCAGUCAUCACCAUUAAAGCUUGAGGCUGUCAGCAGCAGCAGGUUUGCUCAUCUCUGAGGUAUUGGGAGUACGUUAUAGACAUCAUUAAAUUUAUGGCUCUUCUGGUUAGGAAAAAGAAAGAAGUGGUCAUACUGCUGACAAGUUUACAUCAACACCUGAGCAUAUAAAAGAUUAAAAGGGCAAGAGAAGCAGGUUUGCCACCUUUGCUUCAUGUGCACAGGCUGAGAUCUGUGGAAAAGCCUGGAAAAGCUCUUAUGCCUUUGAACAGAGGAGCAAAAGGAGAUUUUACCUGCAGACGCGAUUGUGGUUCUAGAAUGAGUUUAUGCAGAAAGGUGUCCUGUCCCCAUUAGAGCUGCAAUGAACAGCUCCCUGUGGACAACAAGGGACUCACUGGCUGUGACCUUCCUUGCAAACACGCUCAGCGGCAAUAUUGAGGGGCCAACACUUGAACUAUGAAUAUUUUUUCAGCUUUUCUUCACAGCUCAGCUCUCCUCCUAUGCAGUCAGAUACUCCAAAGCAAUUUUUCAAGCUGAUCCUUUUGAAAAAUGUCUGUGUGCUGGGGAAGACCUGUGAUUUGCUGCCCAGUGCUUCCUUCAUCAGAGCUGCUGGGAAUUCCUUUCUAUUGCAUUAGCAACCAGAAAAUUGUGGAGUUUUUUGUUUUUGUUGUUGUCUCUUUGGUGGGGGGGGGGGUUAAUUAAAUGUUGUGCUGUGGCAUUUCAUGUAUGCAAUCCUUCAAAGUUUACUAUAGCUGGUGGAAUGGCUAAAUGAUGAGCCAGCUUCCCUGUUGUCAAACCAGAGCACAGCCUCACAAAGCGAGCCGGGUGUUUCCUUUCCUGUCUCCAUUGAUUUGUGAAUCCAUACUCAUCAGAGAGUGUGAUUUUGUUCUUGUUUCUCACACUUCCCCUGAGCUAGCUG